AGUAACACGUGGGUGAUCUGCCCUGCACUUCGGGAUAAGCCUGGGAAACUGGGUCUAAUACCGGAUAUGACCUUCGGCUGCAUGGCUGAGGGUGGAAAGGUUUACUGGUGCAGGAUGGGCCCGCGGCCUAUCAGCUUGUUGGUGGGGUAAUGGCCUACCAAGGCGACGACGGGUAGCCGACCUGAGAGGGUGACCGGCCACACUGGGACUGAGACACGGCCCAGACUCCUACGGGAGGCAGCAGUGGGGAAUAUUGCACAAUGGGCGAAAGCCUGAUGCAGCGACGCCGCGUGAGGGAUGACGGCCUUCGGGUUGUAAACCUCUUUCAGCAGGGACGAAGCGAAAGUGACGGUACCUGCAGAAGAAGCACCGGCUAACUACGUGCCAGCAGCCGCGGUAAUAC
rnacentral:rRNA from 1 species